rnacentral:rRNA from 1 species
GAUGAACGCUGGCGGCGUGCCUAACACAUGCAAGUCGAACGGAGAUUACGGACGGAGGUUUUCGGAUGGAAGACUGUAAUUCUUAGUGGCGGACGGGUGAGUAACGCGUGGGCAACCUGCCCUAUACAGGGGGAUAGCAGCUGGAAACGGCUGGUAAGACCGCAUAAGUCGGUUAAAUCGCAUGAUUUGAUCGGGAAAUGAGCAAUCAGGUAUAGGAUGGGCCCGCGCCCGAUUAGCCAGUUGGCAGGGUAAAAGCCUACCAAAGCGACGAUCGGUAGCCGGACUGAGAGGUCGGACGGCCACAUUGGGACUGAGACACGGCCCAAACUCCUACGGGAGGCAGCAGUGGGGGAUAUUGCACAAUGGAGGAAACUCUGAUGCAGCGACGCCGCGUGAGUGAAGAAGUAUUUCGGUAUGUAAAGCUCUAUCAGCAGGGAAGAUGAUGACGGUACCUGACGAAGAAGCCCCGGCUAACUACGUG